rnacentral:rRNA from 1 species
GACGAACGCUGGCGGCGUGCUUAACACAUGCAAGUCGAACGGAAAGGCCCUGCUUGCAGGGUACUCGAGUGGCGAACGGGUGAGUAACACGUGGGUGAUCUGCCCUGCACUUCGGGAUAAGCUUGGGAAACUGGGUCUAAUACCGGAUAGGAACCAUCUUUAGUGUGGUGGUUGGAAAGUUUUUUCGGUGUAGGAUGAGCUCGCGGCCUAUCAGCUUGUUGGUGGGGUAAUGGCCUACCAAGGCGGCGACGGGUAGCCGGCCUGAGAGGGUGUACGGCCACAUUGGGACUGAGAGACGGCCCAGACUCCUACGGGAGGCAGCAGUGGGGAAUAUUGCACAAUGGGCGCAAGCCUGAUGCAGCGACGCCGCGUGGGGGAUGAAGGCCUUCGGGUUGUAAACUCCUUUCGCUAGGGACGAAGCUUUUUGUGACGGUACCUAGAUAAGAAGCACCGGCUAACUACGUG